rnacentral:rRNA from 1 species
UACGUAGGUGGCAAGCGUUGUCCGGAAUUACUGGGCGUAAAGCGCGCGUAGGCGGCUUUGCAAGUCGGGUGUGAAAUCCCCAGGCUUAACCUGGGAACUGCAUUCGAGACUGCAUUGCUAGAGUAUGGGAGAGGGAAGUGGAAUUUCAGGUGUAGCGGUGAAAUGCGUAGAUAUCUGAAGGAACAUCAGUGGCGAAAGCGACUUCCUGGACCAAUACUGACGCUCAUGUGCGAAAGCGUGGGGAGCAAACAGG